rnacentral:rRNA from 1 species
CCUACGGGGUGCAGCAGUGGGGAAUAUUGGACAAUGGGCGAAAGCCUGAUCCAGCCAUGCCGCGUGUGUGAAGAAGGCCUUCGGGUUGUAAAGCACUUUCAGUGGGGAAGAAAGCCUUGGGGCUAAUACCCUCGAGGAAGGACAUCACCCACUGAAGAAGCACCGGCUAACUCCGUGCCAGCAGCCGCGGUAAUACGGAGGGUGCGAGCGUUAAUCGGAAUUACUGGGCAUAAAGCGCGCGUAGGCGGUCUGAUAAGCCGGUUGUGAAAGCCCCGGGCUCAACCUGGGAACGGCAUCCGGAACUGUCAGGCUAGAGUGCAGGAGAGGAAGGUAGAAUUCCCGGUGUAGCGGUGAAAUGCGUAGAGAUCGGGAGGAAUACCAGUGGCGAAGGCGGCCUUCUGGACUGACACUGACGCUGAGGUGCGAAAGCGUGGGUAGCAAACAGGAUUAGAUACCCUUGUAGUC